GAGGCUUGGCGCAGCAGCGUCGCAGCACUUGAUCAAUAGUAGUGCUGAAGUUGGGAAUUGCAUGCAAAGCUUCCAGGACACAUACGAGCUAUAAAAUCCUGUCUCUGGUUGCAAAGUGACAAUCGUCAAUUUUAUUUAUUUAUUUCUUGCACCUUACUCUGACUGUGAAAUGUGGACAAGUUGGCACAAGAACAUCAGAGGACCUAGAAAUCAUUAAUCAACAGUACCUCCAAGCUAUUAUGCUUAUCAAGUGUCAACAUAAAAACACUUUUCUGGCCAGGAAAUCUAACAGAAGACAUGCAAGCAUCUGAUAUUUUCCUGUCGCCUGGGGUAAUUGCAAUAUGAUGAAUGAACAUUCAAUGCUUUGCAUACAUUCUGCUUCUGUUACCCCCUUUUUAUGAUCCGAAGGUAGGAAUUCUUAUUAAAAUUUUCCACACCAGGAACUUCUUCAUUGCAUUUGAGAUGAACAAAUGCCUCAGGA